CAGAGACACACACAUACUCAGGGCCUCAGCCAAUGUGAUGUUCUACCUAAAAGUGAGACCUACUAAGGCCUUUGUUUAUCUCUGUUCCAGGGGGAUGUUGAGUGGCCCUGCCAAGGUAGAGACUGCUCUGUAUGUCAGUGUCUUCCCGCCAAAGGUUCACGGGGGGCUCCAGGGAAGCCAGGGGUGCAAGGCCCCAGGGGACAAAUGGGACCAUGGGGACGUGAAGGGCUACUCGGUGACAAAGGCAGGAGGGGAGCAGAGGGAUCACAUGGCCCAGAGGGGCCCAAAGGAGACCGUGGCAAGAUUGGUGCACCUGGUUUUCCCGGAAAUGAUGGCUCAUUAGGUCACCCAGGGGCAGGCGGUGAGCCUGGUUUGCCAGGAGUAGAUGGCUGUAAUGGGACAAGGGGUCGACCAGGUGUCCCUGGUGUUCCUGGUUUGGAUGGUUUCCAUGGGCCUACAGUGAGAUGUUUACAAAAAUUCACAUUCACCCAAAUUCAAGUUUUUGCCUUGACUUUACUUAGACUGUGAUUGUUUUCAUAGUAACAGUCUAAGUAAAGCCACAAAUUCCACAAAAAAAAGUUUUUGAAAAUAUUAGAUCUAUUUAUAAUUUGUCAAAUGACAGAAUUGACUCUUUUGUUGUCAGGGAUUAACUGGACCUAAAGGAAGUAAAGGAGAACCUUUAUAUGGCACUACCCUCCCUGGACUUCCUGUAAGUUCUCCUACACUGGACAAGUGAUUAUUAUCUGAUUAUAUUGGGUUGGCCUUUACCAAGUUCGAAGUCCCUUUCUGUUUGUGCAAAUCCAUGAUUGUUCAAAAUUUACCAUGAUUUAUUAUCAUGUCAUCUUCACGAUCAAUCUUCUGAUUGUUUUAUUUUGCAGGGGGAGCAUGGGAGAACUGGAGAUCUUGGUUUACCUGUAUGUUCUUUAGAGCAGUCGUUCUCAGUAUUAUUGAAAUAUUCUAAUAAAUAAAGCAUAAAUUAAAUGUUGUUGUUUUUUCAGGGAAGACAAGGAGUCCCUGGGCUUAAAGGCCACAUUGGCCCAUCUGGUCAUCCUGGACCUGGGGUAGAACAAAAGUAUUUUAUUUGUAUUUUUAAUAUGUAUGUUAUGACUUAACUAGACAAUUUGAUGUGCGUGUGCGUGUGUGUGUGUGUGUGUGUGUGUGUGUGUGUGUGUGUCUGUGUGUGUUUGAUUCCAUUUAGGGUUUGGAGGGAUCUAAAGGUGUUAGAGGACUACCAGUGAGUUACCUGCCUUACAAUAUUAGGCAGCACAUACUGUAAUAAAAAAAACUGACCUGCACAUGACGCAUGUUUGUCUACACAAACACAAAACCUUACUAAGCUUUUGGUUGUUGUGUAGGGAAACCCUGGAGGAUCGCUGGCAGGUGAUGAAGGUGACGAUGUAAGAAACCAUUUUGGCCUUUCAAAACUACGGACUGAGGUUUUGUUUAGCGCCCCCCCCCUUUUCUCUCUCCCUCUUUAUAUGUUGAAUUAAACUUACAACUCCAGUCGACAUUUUAUUUCUAUAUUUCAGGGUGAACAAGGUCCACCUGGCCCCCCUGGACCAGAAGAAAUUAUAGAAUUUCCUCCAGACUUUCUUCCACUCAAAGGCUACAAGGUGAAGGAAAAAAUCCUCUGUUUUAGAACAAUGCUCAAUUUUUGCUCCUACAUAUCCUGUAUUUAGAUGAAUCCAACAUUCUCUACGGGUUUUAAAGAGGCAACAGACAACUGUGCCCCUAGUGGUUUCAGGUGGUAUUACUGCUUGUAUGAUGACGCUAAGGAUGCAGGUGCUUUUCCUCAGAGCUGUAAGAGAAGAAAGAAGUAUGUACAUUGAAGCUCCUCUUUUAACAGUUUAUUUUGAGACAUUCUGAGUUUUAUAUUUUAGAAAAAAGAAUAGGGACAAUAGUCUGGAAAAACAAACAUGUUUCCAUACUUAUAAAUAACCCAGAUCAAAUUCCAUACUUUCCCAUUUCCCCCACUGUGAUGAUGUAUAUUGUCUUGUGCUUCUCAGGGAGACAUAGGUCUUCCUGGACCAUGUGGACCAAAGGGCAAAAGGGUCAGUUUUAUCCAAUACGAAUAUACAGGCAUGUGUAAAAGAGAGAAAGAGGUAUUUGAGAUAAUUUUUUUCUUAUCAGGGGGAUAAAGAAGAUUAUAACAGACAAGGAAUUAAGGGAGAGCAAGGAAUCCUUGGAUUUCCUGGACUUCGGGUAAAGUGACUUAAAACACACUUCCGCAUGAUUUCAGAUAUACACGUCCAUACAAAUGCAAUGUUUUCAUCCGCACUAUUUCUUCUCUAGGGUUUUCCAGGAAUUCCUGGCAGAGACGGAACAUCACCUGAGGUACACCUGUCAUAUGAUUAAGACAUGUCAUAUGAUUAGGCCUUUGUAUGUGUCAUAAAGUUAUUCAGGCUAAAUACAAUGGUACAUUUUCAGGGUAUCCGUGGAGAGAAAGGACUUCCAGGUCUCAUAGGAAGAAUUGGACCAAAGGUGAGCUGUGCGUAAACAUCUUAUCAAUCUUCAUGACAAUUUGAACAAGAGCACUCAAGAGCGCAGACCUCCGCCAAGGCUGAUCGACGCAACCAAAAUUUGGA
ensembl:lncRNA